GAGAGAGGUGUGUGUGUUUGUGCGUGAUGUGACAUGAAGCUAAUGAGUGUUGGUCAGCCUCUCGGUGCUCCUAUAACAUAACCAGGAGCUGUGGCAGUGGGCAUAUGUAGAUGGGAUCUCCAUUCACUGAGCUGGAGGUGCUGAUAAUCAUGUUCUCACUCCUGGUUUUCGCCCUCUUCUCACUCACUGGGAUGCUCAAUGAGGAACGUGCUCACUCGAAUGAGACUAACGCAACACAACAAAGUGAGGAGCAUACCGUUUGAUUCAAGAUGAGGUUCAUGACAAAGACUGAAAAAAUUCUGGCGACCAGAGUGAACUGUCUCUUCCUGUUUGCCACCUCAUGAGGACGUCAGUCAAAGCCUUGGGGACUGUGUGUGUUUGUGUAUGAAUGUGUUAUCAGUUACCAGAACAAAGUCUAAAUGGUAACCUGUGAAUGUGUGUGCGUGUGUGUGUGUGUGUACUUUGUUAUAGGAUCCAGUGUUAUUUGCUUCCAGGAUGAGGCACAAAGGAGUGGCCUUGAAGGGACACUGUUAAACAAAAAAAAAAAGAGGAAAAUCAAUAAAUAAUCACCUGGUUCAACAGACUGUGACAAGACAGUAUCAUGUUUCCUCUCUGAGAGCAUGUCUGCAUGUGAAUAUACACACAAAUCCUUUUGAUCUCCAGAUUUGAAAAUAGCUGCUGCGAUUCUCCUCCUGCCUGGCUUCGGUCUGCAUCCAGCCAGGUACCAAACCACCUCUGCU